GGUGGGACUGCUGGUGACUCUGAUGGAGCAGGAAUUCUCAAGCAGCUCAGAGGCAGCAGUUAAGGAAGGGAUUCAUUAAGGCAAGAGCAGCAGCGAAUGGCAGCUGCCCUGCAGGUGGGCCACGUCACUGGGCUGCAUUCUUCCCCAAUGAACCCAGUUCGACCCUGAGACUCUCAAAAGGAAAAGGUAAUAUUCUUCUGCAACACAUCUUGGCCGCAACACCAACUAGGAGACCAAGAACAAUGGCUUAAUCCUAACACUUUUACUGAAUUGAAUCUUUUCUGGAAGUGGGCAAACAAAAGGGCAGAAGUGCCUUACGUUCAGACUUGCUUCUAUGUCAGAAGCUGAAGAGGCCACGCCAAGCUUGCCAACUUGCUGCAGCCCUCUCUCCACUCCUCUUCCUACUUUACCUCUGCACCAGUGUCAGCUAAAGCCGACCUUAGGACACAAUUGAAAACACUGGUUAUAUUAUCAAAGCUGUGACUGAAGUGACAUAUUUGAGAGAGGCACACGUAUACUCAGACAUGACCAGGCAGCUUGAAGGAGCCAACAUUGACUUUAUGGGGCCAACAAAGCCCCUCAGAAGAACU